AACGAACGCUGGCGGCAGGCUUAACACAUGCAAGUCGAACGGUUGUAGCAAUACAGCAGUGGCAGACGGGUGAGUAACACGUGGGAACCUUCCUAGGGGGUACGGAACAACUCAGGGAAACUUGAGCUAAUACCGUAUACGUCCGUGAGGAGAAAGAUUUAUCGCCCUUAGACGGGCCCGCGUCGGAUUAGCUAGUUGGUGGGUAACGGCCUACCAAGGCGACGAUCCGUAGCUGAUCUUAGAGGAUGAUCAGCCACACUGGGACUGAGACACGGCUCAGACUCCUACGGGAGGCAGCAGUGGGGAAUCUUGGACAAUGGGCGCAAGCCUGAUCCAGCCAUGCCGCGUGAGUGAAGAAGGUCUUCGGAUUGUAAAGCUCUUUUGCCAGGGACGAUAAUGACGGUACCUGGAGAAUAAGCCCGGCAAACUUCGUGCCAGCAGCCGCGGUAAU
rnacentral:rRNA from 1 species